GCGGCUGGCUCGGCAGCUCCAGGCUAUUCCGAGGAACAGUCUUCAGAGAGCCUGGGGUGCUGAUGGGGAAAAGCUGUUGCUGAGAUUUGACAAGUUUGGUCCUGAGAUGUCAGAAAGGAUUUCAGCUCUUCUGCCACCCCAAGGACGGUGGCGCGUAAAUCACAGUGAGCUGGCUUAUGUCAGAGGACAAUGAAUCCAGGCAGUGAUCCACCAAUGAUAACUAACAUCAUAAAAAGAUACAUGGCCGGAUAUGAUGUUCCUUCUGACGGAAGACCACAACACCUGCUGAAAAAUCAAAUCUGAAUCGGAUCAAGCCUCUAGAGACUGACCCUGCUUAUUUCUGUGAACCAACCAGUGAUCUCUGGCUACUGCUCAGAAGAAACAGAGGGAUGGUGUGGGAGAAGCCUGCUGUGUGCUAGCCAGUGGAAUGUGACCAGAAUGAUGUGUACCACUUUCUGCAUAGGCAUCCUGGGACCACGGAGCAGCCACCAACGACUACAGAUGAAACACAAGCCUCUCCGGUCACUUUUUGCUGGCCGUUGGAAGGAGGCUGUUGAGUGGGAGUGGAACCUCCAGGUUUCCUGGGGCACUAUUCUGGAUCCCCUCAUCUCAGCUCUGUGAGGUCAUGGCUAAGCCUGAAACAGGUCCCAACUCAUUCAAUCUUGCCAUAAACCUAUGAAAUGGGUGUCAGCCAUGAGGCUUUGGUUGCAAAUAACAGAAACCCCAACUUAACUGUCAUAUGGAAGCAGAGAAGCAACUGACUCUUUGCCAGAGGCUUAUGUCAUGACUCCAAGUAGUGAGGGGGUGGCUGUUCAGGUCAAAGGAUUAGCAACAAUGACUGGCUUAAACAACGAAAAA
rnacentral:lncRNA from 1 species